rnacentral:rRNA from 1 species
UACGGAGGGUGCAAGCGUUAUCCGGAUUCACUGGGUUUAAAGGGUGCGUAGGUGGGCAGGUAAGUCAGUGGUGAAAUCUCCGGGCUUAACCCGGAAACUGCCGUUGAUACUAUCUGUCUUGAAUGCCGUGGAGAUGAGCGGAAUAUGUCAUGUAGCGGUGAAAUGCUUAGAUAUGACAUAGAACACCAAUUGCGAAGGCAGCUCGUUACACGAACAUUGACUCUGAGGCUCGAAAGCGUGGGGAUCAAACAGG